GGAAGGAUCGGGGAAGAAACGGCUUCUCAUGUCAUGGUAACCAAAAGGGAGAGUAUGCAAAGAAAAGCCAGAGAAUGAUGGUGUUCCUCAGACUUGGCAUCUUCAGCUUUCUCAAGCCUCCAUUACACUUUUGGCUUCCCCUUUACAGCUUAAUGACUUACUUUCAGGGCCACACUGCUGGACCUACCACAUCUUCUGAAAUCUGGGUAGAAGACGCACAGCUCUUACAUUCUUCUUUCCCAUAAAACCAGCACAAUGUGGAAGAUGUGGAGUGCUGUGGUCAGAUCUGCCAGUUUUCAGUUUCUCCUGGAUCAUGGUUACAAAGACAUCUGAUGCCUGAACUACGGGAAAUGCUUUCCUGGAUAGCACUGAAUGAACUUGGCUCCCCAGGGCUCUAGUUCCAAACUAAAGUCUUUCAUUAUUGGACUUUUAGUCUUGUGAUGGGUAAUAUAUUCUUAAUUUAUGAAAUGUUCCUCAGAUAAUUUUCCUAUUUUCUUGAUGCAAAGAAUUUGGCUCUUUUUUCAUGCUAAUCUUUUAAACAACUGUGCUCUUUUUUUUCUGCCAACUUUCCCAUGCUAUAUUUCUGAUGAAACUGCAAAUUUUUAAAAUAACUUAACUGUCAUUUUUUUCUCGUUUUCAUAACAGAUCUUGCUAGAAACAGCAAGCAUCCCUAACUAUAGAUGAACUACUGGGCCGCCUUGAACUUUCCUCAGCCACAUAAAUCCAUCAUACUUAAUCUUAACCUUCUGCAUAGUCUCAUGAUUUAGAUAAAGAUUUCAUUUGAUUUUUUUGCCAGAGUAUGACACCCAUGACCAGGAGUCCAACAGCCAAUGGAGUUCGUAUUCCUAACUGGAACUUCCGGAGACUAGCUUUACUGUAUGCAUUGCUAUCAGUAUUCUGUUCUUCUAGCUCUGAUCAGAAUUUCCCACCUACCUUGGCAAACAGUAUUCUAGAUUUUUCUGGUCAGAUUUUCAAACUACUCCCAAGAAUGUCUUCCAAACAACUGGAAGCCAGUAAGUUAGAUACGUUUACAGAAAUGAUCCCACUUUGUGUGUAAAAAUCUAUUUCGGUGACUUUCUUUCUUGCAGGGACAAAAUAUUCAAUACCCAGAACUUUAAGGACAAAACGUUUAUUUAGGCUAAUAUUUUGCUGUCUGCAAGAGAGAAAUGGCAUGAUGGAAAGGCCUGACAGGAAGAAAUCAGCUCAUGUCAUGGUGGUCAAAAUUCACACAGUGAAUACGGACCAGACAGUCAUAGAUGCCUCCAGGUCAAGGCCCAGGUACCUGCCUCUAGCCAGACUCUAAAGAGCACACUCAACUGCUAAAUUCACAUUGGUGAAUCCCUUGAUGAGUGUAGUGCCCUGAUGAUACAGGCAACUUUCAAAACACAAAGUUUGAACACAUCAGACUUUUCUGGGAAAUUUUAGAUCUAACAAAACAGUUGAUAUUAUUUUUAAAGUUCAAGAUCCAAUAUCAAUUGGUGGUUCUUUUUAAAUUUUAUUUUAAAGCUCUGUGCAUAAGCUUUCUAUGGAUUCCAAUGCCAUGAAAUUACUAAGAAUUUUUCACACUCAUAACCCCACUCUCCCAGAAUUUAAAGUCUAUUUUCUUUGCCUUUCAACUAUUUGUCAUAUUGUGUCUCGUUUCUUGUAAUAUAUUCGUAUAACAAAAUAACAUUAAUUAUAGGAGCUAGCUGUGUCUUGUUUCAUUCAUUCAUUAAAUCACUUAUGCCACCGGUAUUUAUUGAAAUGUAUUAUUUUUGAUAUAAUAUGGAUUGAUUAUAAAAACAAAGACUAUGGCUACUUUUGAAAAAUAUAUUCUUUCUAAAAGCAAGGGAAAAACAAACCAAAAGUAACAAUUACGUAUUUGCCAAUUGAGGUAAAUGAUGUUCCAAAUACAAGUAACAUCUUAAGAAAACAGUAAAAAUGUAGUAAUUAAAUUUCUCUGCUAUUUUGAAUAUUACCUUUUUUUUCAUCUCAAAUAGACUGCUUAGCAAUUUGGUAUGUUAUAUAUGUGAAUACAAAAAAAUUGGGCCUCCCAAACCUUGCCAAAGUUAACAUUAUAAUAAAAAGCAAAACCUUAUUUCUCAAAUUUAGUAGGAUUAAUAAUAUCCUGAUUCUUAUACUGAAAUAUUUUGCAACAUACUUUAAAUUACUGUUUAGCUGUUUCCUUUCACUUGGAAAGAUAUUAGAAUGAAUUUAACUAACUUCCUUUUCUAAGAGUUUCCUAAAUUUUAAGAUAUACUUGAAUUGAGGGAUCUAAUUCUUGAAAAGGUGUCUGAACUCCAAAAGAGAAAUUGGUAUCUCACAAAAUUGUAAACCAUUUUUAAAUCCAGUUAUUUGGCAAAAUGAUUUAGGUAGCUAUGGGCUUGUAGCAUUCAUAUUACGUUGAACAUUGUGCCACCUUUAAUAAGAAUGUUUCAUCAUUCUCUCUAUACUUAAUUCAGCAUCUUGAAAUGAAUAGCUAAGUUUCAGUUAAUAUAUAACCCUUCUGCUAAUGAGCAUUCAGAUCCCUCAAGGCCUAGGACCAAUUUGACAGUUGUCUGAGUGCUAUAUACUCCAAGAUUCUAUUAAGUGAUAUCAUAAUUUCCCGAAAAGUAAAUGUCAUUUUUGGCAAAUUUUCUGCCAAAGCACAUUCAUUGGCAAUAUGAAUUGAGAAGUUAACUUCCCUAGAGAAAAUUUUUCAUAAACUUUUGGCUGUGUUAUAUGAAAAUAAUCAGUGAAGGUCAUUUUGAAAGUCACAACAUAGUAUUGUUCAUGUCAGCUUAUUUGAUAACUAGAGAAAAAUUUAAGUGACUCAGGAAAUUGUACUUUUGUUACUCAAUAUACUUUUAUUAAUAUGUAAAUUUUGGAAUGGUUUUAUUUAAUUGGAAAGUAUGAAUUAUUUAAUAGGUGCAACUAAAAUUACUAACCAUACUGAAAUGUAUGUACCUACAUCUGUGACUGAAUUGGCAAAACACUUUGCUAUAACUUACAUGACUAUUUAAAAAGUGUAAAUUUAUAAAUUAAUUUUAACUGAUGAACAAAAAAAUAAAAGUUGUGCAUUGUAA